UGCAAGUCGAGCGGUAGAGAGAAGCUUGCUUCUCUUGAGAGCGGCGGACGGGUGAGUAAUGCCUAGGAAUCUGCCUGGUAGUGGGGGAUAACGUUCGGAAACGGACGCUAAUACCGCAUACGUCCUACGGGAGAAAGCAGGGGACCUUCGGGCCUUGCGCUAUCAGAUGAGCCUAGGUCGGAUUAGCUAGUUGGUGAGGUAAUGGCUCACCAAGGCGACGAUCCGUAACUGGUCUGAGAGGAUGAUCAGUCACACUGGAACUGAGACACGGUCCAGACUCCUACGGGAGGCAGCAGUGGGGAAUAUUGGACAAUGGGCGAAAGCCUGAUCCAGCCAUGCCGCGUGUGUGAAGAAGGUCUUCGGAUUGUAAAGCACUUUAAGUUGGGAGGAAGGGUUGUAGAUUAAUACUCUGCAAUUUUGACGUUACCGACAGAAUAAGCACCGGCUAACUCUGUGCCAGCAGCCGCGGUAAUACAGAGGGUGCAAGCGUUAAUCGGAAUUACUGGGCGUAAAGCGCGCGUAGGUGGUUUGUUAAGUUGGAUGUGAAAUCCCCGGGCUCAACCUGGGAACUGCAUUCAAAACUGACUGACUAGAGUAUGGUAGAGGGUGGUGGAAUUUCCUGUGUAGCGGUGAAAUGCGUAGAUAUAGGAAGGAACACCAGUGGCGAAGGCGACCACCUGGACUAAUACUGACACUGAGGUGCGAAAGCGUGGGGGAGCAAACAGGAUUAGAUACCCUGGUAGUCCACGCCGUAAACGAUGUCAACUAGCCGUUGGAAGCCUUGAGCUUUUAGUGGCGCA
rnacentral:rRNA from 1 species